rnacentral:sRNA from 1 species
GCUGGGUUUGGGGGUGCACACCUGUAAUCCCAGCGGCUUGGGAGGCUGAGGCAGGAGGAUAGUGAGUUCAAAGCCAGCCUCAGCAAAAAGCAAGGCACUAAGCAACUCAGUGAGACCCUGUCUCUA